rnacentral:lncRNA from 1 species
AGCAGGUGCACGUCUAUAAAGAGCACGGCUAAGGCAGCUCUGUUAUAAAAACAGCUCUUGAAGACCAAGGACCACAUUACCAACUUUUCAUGUACACAAGUACAAUUCGUAAGCACUCUAUACUCACUCACACGGCAAGACUUUUUUCUUUUUGGUCUUUUUAGGGCCUCACCCAUGGCAUGCAGAAGUUCCCAGGCUACGGGUCCUCAAGUUGAAGCUGUAGCUGCCGCCUGGGAAUCUCCGUAUGCCGCAGGAGCGGCCCAAAAAAUGGCAAAAAGACAAUAAAUAAAUAAAUAGACAGACAGACAGAUAGAUAGACAGAUAGAUAAAAUAAAAUCCUUUAUUAGAAAAAUUAAACUGGGAGUUCCUGUCGUGGCUCAGCGGAAACGAACGCAACUAGCAUCCAAGAGGAUGCCAGUUCAAUCCCUGGCCUCGCUUAGUGGGUCGGGGAUCUGGCGUUGUCAUGAGCUGUGUUGCAGGUCACAGAUGCGGCUCCUGCAUUGCUGUCACUUUUGUGUAGGUCAGCAGCUGUAGCUAUCAUUCCACCCCUAGCCUGGGAACCUUCAUAUGCCCUAAAAAUGCCUUUUUUUAGGGUGUGGCCCUAAAAAAAGGAAAAAAAAAGAAAAAUUAAACUGAAGACGACUGGUGUUGCCACGGCUGUGGCACAGGCCCCAGCUGCAGCUCCGAGUCUACCCCUGGCCUGGGAACUUCCAUAGGCCACAGGUUCAGCCCUAAAAAGAAAAACAGACUUGGUCCUGCCUCUUGAACCAUUCUCUCUCUCCCCUCUGGCUGGGCACCUGGAUAUUCCCCGGCUAAGCAGCUCACCCACUCUCAGAGCUUCAACUAAGUUGACGAAGUCCAAACACAUCUUCAACCCGGGCUGCUCAAUUCUCCUCCAGUUGCUUCUUUCAAGCUCCCAACUCUUGGGCUCUUCUGCUGCUACGUACUAGUUUAACUUUAAAAUCAAGAGGCCCAUUAUUUUUUCAAAAUCAGCUUCUACAAUUAUGUCAAGAGCAAAUUUCAUCAUUCUUCCAACCUCCUAGAUGAGAAACUUUGAAAAUUACCUUGAAUUAUACACCCAAGUACCUAGGAAAAACCUCAUCAAAGUACCAAAAUGCACAAAAAUUUUAUUUGGUAAAAACAGCAGCAACUGCAGGGGCUGAAAUCAGAAUCCUAAUGCAGUGCUACAUACUAACACUUCAUGCAGGAUCGAUCGAUCCAGAGACCAGGACCUCAAUGAGGCAAAGGCAGGAGCAGCACCUUUCCGCACACACAUCACACACCAGUCAGAAAGCACUGCCCAACCCAAGCCCUGAUGAGCCAGCCCCUCCAGGCCUGGCCGCCGGCAAUAACCAAGAUGAGACCUCGGCCUCCCAACACCCACUGAACGCCUGACACGUAAGAGACCCUCAAAUGGUGACAGAAUGGGAGUUCCCGUCGUGGGUCAGCAGUUAAUGAACGUGGCUAGCUAGCAUCCAUGAGGACGUGGGUUCGAUCCCUGGCAUCAUCGCUCAGUGGGUUAAGGAU